UACGUAGGGGGCAAGCGUUAUCCGGAAUCACUGGGCGUAAAGGGUGCGUAGGCGGCUUUACAAGUCAGGGGUGAAAGGCUACGGCUCAACCGUAGUAAGCCUUUGAAACUGUAGAGCUUGAGUGCAGGAGAGGAGAGUGGAAUUCCUAGUGUAGCGGUGAAAUGCGUAGAUAUUAGGAGGAACACCAGUGGCGAAGGCGACUCUCUGGACUGUAACUGACGCUGAUGCACGAAAGCGUGGGGAGCAAACAGG
rnacentral:rRNA from 1 species